UCUUGUUAAAGGGUAAGCAUAAAUUUAUUCUUUCUUUUCGUUUUAUCUUUUGCUGUGUAUUACAUUAAUAGGGAGGAUUUUAAACCACCAAUUUCGUUAUAUUUUCUGCAUUAUAUUAAUUAACUUAAUUUUUUUUAUUUUGCGCGAGAUCAUCGACUUAACCAAUUCCUAGUUCCGGUCGUGAAUAUAGGAUUCAGGAUAAUUUUAGUGGGACAUUUCCUAUGGAAUUAAGAGGCUUUUAGAUCCAGUCAGCUCAACUUUUCAACAUUAUGGUGUGUAAGCCAGUUUUAUAAUUAAGUUAACUAUAUUGCAU